rnacentral:rRNA from 1 species
AUGAACGCUGGCGGCGUGCCUAAUACCUGCAAGUCGAGCGAACAGACGAGGAGCUUGCUCCUCUGACGUUAGCGGCGGACGGGUGAGUAACACGUGGAUAACCUACCUAUAAGACUGGGAUAACUUCGGGAAACCGGAGCUAAUACCGGAUAAUAUAUUGAACCGCAUGGUUCAAUAGUGAAAGACGGUAUUGCUGUCACUUAUAGAUGGAUCCGCGCCGCAUUAGCUAGUUGGUAAGGUAACGGCUUACCAAGGCAACGAUGCGUAGCCGACCUGAGAGGGUGAUCGGCCACACUGGAACUGAGACACGGUCCAGACUCCUACGGGAGGCAGCAGUAGGGAAUCUUCCGCAAUGGGCGAAAGCCUGACGGAGCAACGCCGCGUGAGUGAUGAAGGUCUUCGGAUCGUAAAACUCUGUUAUUAGGGAAGAACAAAUGUGUAAGUAACUAUGCACGUCUUGACGGUACCUAAUCAGAAAGCCACGGCUAACUACGUG